GGUAGAGUAACGCGUGAGCAACCUGCCCAUGACAGUGGGAUAGCCUCGGGAAACCGGGAUUAAUACCGCAUAAAAUCGUAGAAACACAUGUUUUAACGGUCAAAGAUUUAUCGGUCAUAGAUGGGCUCGCGUCUGAUUAGCUAGUUGGUGAGAUAACAGCCCACCAAGGCGACGAUCAGUAGCCGGUCUGAGAGGAUGAACGGCCACAUUGGAACUGAGACACGGUCCAA
rnacentral:rRNA from 1 species